rnacentral:rRNA from 1 species
CCCUUAGAUGUUCUGGGCCGCACGCGCGCUACACUGACGGAGACAGCGAGCGUGUCCUUCGCCGGCAGGUGCGGGCAAUCUUGCGAGUCUCCGUCGUGCUGGGGAUAGAUGGUUGCAAUUGUCGAUCUUGAACGAGGAAUUCCUAGUAAGCGCGAGUCAUCAGCUCGCGCUGAUUACGUCCCUGCCCUUUGUACACACCGCCCGUCGCUACUACAGAGUGCCCGUGUCCAAGAAACGGUCGGACCUGUGCGGCCUCUCCGGGCGACCGGAGGGCCGUUACGGGGAAGACCCUUUAUUUGACGCGGGUCGAUGAAGUAAAAGUCGUAACA